AAACCCCAGUUCAAAUGAGCUAAAAGUGAUGCCUCUCUUCCCUUCAAUCAUGGUCGAUUCUAAUUUCUCUCUCAAUCAAUUUCUUUCUUUUCUGGGUCCAAUCUUACUUUCUCUUCUACUAUUUCGUGUAUAAUUUACUCUACUUUCAGACGCUCUAUUUAGGUGUUUUGGUUAUAGACCAUGAUUUGAUCUCAAUUGCGUAGGAAUUUGUCUCGGUUAGGAAUUUCUGUUCCAAAGUGAAAUUGAUCAAUUGGGUGCUCAUUAAUUUUUGAUCUUGGAGGAAUUCAUGCCUCGGAAUUGUUGGAUUUAUGUGAGAAUGCAGUGAGCUGCAUGAUUAUGGUCCUUCCUUUUCUUGCAUGAUGAUAUUGAAUUUAAUGGAAUUAGAAACUUGGAUUUGAAUCUCGUGGAUUCAAACACUUUGCUGUCUUCAACUUUCUUCUCUCUUCUUAGAAUAACAGGAACAUGGAUCAAAGUAAAUAUGGAACACUGGUAUUUUUGGGGCACUUUGUGUAUGGUGUUUACUGUUUACCUUCUUGUGGAGUUUGUUUUCUGGAAAUAAUAACAUAGUUGUGUAUUAGCUGUAUAUAAAGACUUGACUCAGUUUCACAUUUGUUUUUAUAUUGGCAUAGAUAAUUGAGGGUGUCCAGCUAUGAGAGCCUAAAGACUUUUGCUCAUACGUGAGAAGAGAGUUUAAGGCAAUGAGCAGAACUUGCAAGGCCAAGGUCAAUUCAAUGGCUUUUAGUUGCAGUUUGUCUCUGUUUAUUUCUUUAGUUUGUAUCAAUAGCUUUGUAUUUGUUUACUCUAGUCCAUUAUGUUUAAAUAGGACUUCAAUUAGUUGCUAUAGAAAGGAGUUACUAUAUGUUUUGUCAAACUGAUAUACAAUUUAAGUAUUGCUGUGGAAGUUUGGUUUA